UACGGGGGGGGGCAAGCGUUGUUCGGAAUUACUGGGCGUAAAGGGUCUGUAGGUGGCUUGCUAAGUCAGACGUGAAAUCCCUCGGCUUAACCGGGGAACUGCGUCUGAUACUGGCGUGCUGGAGUGUGGCAGAGGGAGGUGGAAUUCCACGUGUAGCAGUGAAAUGCGUAGAGAUGUGGAGGAACACCGAUGGCGAAGGCAGCCUCCUGGGCCAGCACUGACGCUCAUGCACGAAAGCGUGGGGAGCAAACAGG
rnacentral:rRNA from 1 species